UACAGAGGUCUCAACCGUUGUUCGGAUUCAUUGGGCGUAAAGGGCGCGUAGGCGGCCAGCACAAGUCAGUUGUGAAAUCUCCGAGCUUAACUCGGAAACUGCCGUUGAUACUAUCUGUCUUGAAUAUUGUGGAGGUGAGCGGAAUAUGUCAUGUAGCGGUGAAAUGCUUAGAUAUGACAUAGAACACCAAAUUGCGAAGGCAGCUCGCUACACAUAUAUUGACUCUGAGGCACGAAAGCGUGGGGAUCAAACAGG
rnacentral:rRNA from 1 species